rnacentral:lncRNA from 1 species
AUGCUUUUGCCCCCUACUGGUGUUGGGGCUUUACCGGGAGCUGCCAGCCCCCAAAAUGCACACAGGAUUUCAGGAGUCAGCCUUGAGACAGGUGCUUGGGAAGCCGGCGGCACCUCAGGUGCUUGGCAGAGGGAGCCCCUUCGCCAUGCUCCGGCAUCCCACCUCCUCCCACCUUUGCCCAGCGUUAGUCGGCCUCUCCUCUCCUCCUGCCCUUUCUCACCCAUCUCCUCCCCUCCUGUCCCUGGCCUGUCCCCUAUACGUUAUUCCUACAGCUUUUGCUCCCCUUUCUCCCACCUUCCCAACCACCUUCGGUGCUCUCCAACCCCUCUUGUCCGUUUCUCCCCCUCGCUUCCCACCUGCCUCCUUCCUCCCCGCAGCCCUUUGUCUCCCUCCUCUCCUCGGCCCCCCCUUUCCUCCCGUGCCCCCCGCUCACACUUCACAGGCCCCUUCGGCCCCACGUCCCGCGCCAGCCUCCCGCGCCCUUCGCCCCGUGCCCCCCCCACUUCUCCUCGCUGCCCCUGGCCGAGCCCCCUGCUGGGGCCGGGGCCCCGCUCGGGGCAGGGGGCCGCGUUGGGGUUAGGGUCCCCUCGCACCCCCGGCACCGGAGCCCCCCUCGGCAGCCAGAGGAGGGGAGAGCCCCGCGCCAGGUGCCCCGGGGCUGGGGGAGAUGGCGGCGGGCCUCGGGCUGCCCUCACCGUCCCCUCCCCGCAUCUUUGUUCUCCCGCAGCCGCCCUGCCCUCCCCGGCUGCCGCACGACGCCGGCCCCCGCCUCGGCGGCCCCGCUCGUCCCCGUUCCCCCGGGGCCCAGCGGCUGGGGCGCGGCCNNNNNNNNNNNNNNNNNNNNNNNNNGGGGGCGGCCCCGGUGGGGACCCCCCGCGGCCCGGCCUCGGCCCGGCAGGCACCGAGCGGCCGUGGGGCACGGCCCCGGGGCGGUUUCCCAGGCCGCAGGCGGCCCCGGGUCCCGGUGGGCAGCGGCCACCCCGAGCGCCCCCGGCCGCCGUCCCCUGCUGCCAGCCGCCCGCUGGGCCUCUGCAGGCCCCUGCAGCCGUUUCUUGGCUGCCUGGGGUGUGA